GUUGAACGCUGGCGGCAUGCCUAACACAUGCAAGUCGAACGAGCGGCGGACGGGUGAGUAAGGUAUGGGGAACGCCCGAAAGAGGGGGAUAAAUAGUGGAAAAGGUGGCUAAUAACGCAUACAGUCGGAUAACCCAUAUGGGAUUAGCUAGUAGGUAAGGUAAUGGCUUACCUAGGCGACGAUCCCUAGCUGGUCUGCGAGGUUGAUCAGCCACACUGGGACUGAGACACGGCCCAGACUCCUACGGAGGCAGCAGUGGGGAAUAUUGCACAAUGGGCGAAAGCCUGAUGGAGCAAUGCCGCGUGAGUGAAGAAGGCCUUCGGGUCGUAAAGUAUUGUCGUUCGGGAGGCGGUACCUAAAGAAGAAGCACCGGCUAACUCCGUGCCAGCAGCCGCGGUAAUAC
rnacentral:rRNA from 1 species